rnacentral:misc_RNA from 1 species
GUCUUUUCCUUCUGGGUCCCCUCCACGGCGUUGCCAACAUCAUCAUGCUCAUAUUUACCUCUUCGCUUAUGAUUUAGCUGAUUCGUUGUUGUUACUUGUCUUAACUUCUAUUGGACAUUGAGAUACAUAAGGCUUCAGCUUGAAAUGAGUCAAAUCAGGGACGACAUAGUUAGGCAGUUUCUCUGGCACCACUACAUAUCCACCUUUGCGCGUAUGAAAACCAGUAGGCUUGCAAUUU